rnacentral:rRNA from 1 species
CUACGGGCGGCAGCAGUGAGGAAUUUUGCGCAAUGGGGGCAACCCUGACGCAGCAACGCCGCGUGAGUGAAGAAGGCCUUUGGGUCGUAAAGCUCUGUCAACAGGGAAGAAGUUAAUGACAUUUAAUAGAUGUUGUUAUUGACGGUACCUGUGGAGGAAGCGCCGGCUAACUCCGUGCCAGCAGCCGCGGGUAACACGGGGGGCGCAAGCGUUAUUCGGAAUUAUUGGGCGUAAAGGGCGCGCAGGCGGUCUUGUCCGUCAGGUGUGAAAGCUCGGGGCUCAACCCCGGAAGUGCACUUGAAACAGCAAGACUUGAAUACGGGAGAGGAAAGCGGAAUUCCUGGUGUAGAGGUGAAAUUCGUAGAUAUCAGGAGGAACACCGAUGGCGAAGGCAGCUUUCUGGACCGAUAUUGACGCUGAGGCGCGAAGGCGUGGGGAGCGAACGGGAUUAGAUACCCCUGUAGUC